AACGAACGCUGGCGGCAGGCCUAACACAUGCAAGUCGAGCGGACCCUUCGGGGUUAGCGGCGGACGGGUGAGUAGCGCGUGGGAAUAUGCCCUUCUCUACGGAAUAGUCCUGGGAAACUGGGGGUAAUACCGUAUACGCCCUUUGGGGGAAAGAUUUAUCGGGGAAGGAUUAGCCCGCGUUGGAUUAGGUAGUUGGUGGGGUAAUGGCCUACCAAGCCGACGAUCCAUAGCUGGUUUGAGAGGAUGAUCAGCCACACUGGGACUGAGACACGGCCCAGACUCCUACGGGAGGCAGCAGUGGGGAAUCUUAGUCAAUGGGGGCAACCCUGAUCUAGCCAUGCCGCGUGAGUGAUGAAGGCCUUAGGGUUGUAAAGCUCUUUCAGCUGGGAAGAUAAUGACGGUACCAGCAGAAGAAGCCCCGGCUAACUCCGUG
rnacentral:rRNA from 1 species